rnacentral:snoRNA from 1 species
GACUAGAGUCACAUCCCGACACAGAACUUGUCCUGGUGUGCUACAGUACAAUUUGCUGGUCUUGAUUCACUGGGGGGGGAUAAUUAAUGUCCCCAUUAGUGCCCAGAUCAGAAACAUAG